GCCAUUACUUUUCGAACAACCCAAUACCGCAGUUUUCAGUGGAGGGAGCGCGAGAGCGCGACUAUUCGAUUCCACACGCGCACGCAGUCCCGCUCUCAUCAUCGCCACCAGCUCUCCGCUCUGAGAUUCGUUUCACGGAGAGUGAACGAGUUGAUUUCAUUACCGUGGCAGCCGCGAGGGAGAUCGCUUCGCGAUCUUGUCCCCGUUCGUUCCUUGGCUGUGCUGGUGGUGUCUCUGGUUAUCGCGUGUGUUCAAAAAGUGGUCAAAAGGUAGUGUAGCUUUGGUGUGUAACGAGUGUGACGUACAGAUGAAGUGCAUAUUAACAUUCUGGUGAAAGUGUGGUGUAUAUGAUUUCAAGUUCAAGUGUAUAUGAGACGAGUUCUAGUGCAGUGACCGCAGUUUACGCCCGCUUCCAGCAUCGCUACCCCAAAGAAACGCCAUUACUUUUCGAACAACCCAAUACCGCAGUUUUCAGUGGAGGGAGCGCGAGAGCGCGACUAUUCGAUUCCACACGCGCACGCAGUCCCGCUCUCAUCAUCGCCACCAGCUCUCCGCUCUGAGAUUCGUUUCACGGAGAGUGAACGAGUUGAUUUCAUUACCGUGGCAGCCGCGAGGGAGAUCGCUUCGCGAUCUUGUCCCCGUUCGUUCCUUGGCUGUGCUGGUGGUGUCUCUGGUUAUCGCGUGUGUUCAAAAAGUGGUCAAAAGGUAGUGUAGCUUUGGUGUGUAACGAGUGUGACGUACAGAUGAAGUGCAUAUUAACAUUCUGGUGAAAGUGUGGUGUAUAUGAUUUCAAGUUCAAGUGUAUAUGAGACGAGUUCUAGUGCAGUGACCGCAGUUUACGCCCGCUUCCAGCAUCGCUACCCCAAAGAAACGCCAUUACUUUUCGAACAACCCAAUACCGCAGUUUUCAGUGGAGGGAGCGCGAGAGCGCGACUAUUCGAUUCCACACGCGCACGCAGUCCCGCUCUCAUCAUCGCCACCAGCUCUCCGCUCUGAGAUUCGUUUCACGGAGAGUGAACGAGUUGAUUUCAUUACCGUGGCAGCCGCGAGGGAGAUCGCUUCGCGAUCUUGUCCCCGUUCGUUCCUUGGCUGUGCUGGUGGUGUCUCUGGUUAUCGCGUGUGUUCAAAAAGUGGUCAAAAGGUAGUGUAGCUUUGGUGUGUAACGAGUGUGACGUACAGAUGAAGUGCAUAUUAACAUUCUGGUGAAAGUGUGGUGUAUAUGAUUUCAAGUUCAAGUGUAUAUGAGACGAGUUCUAGUGCAGUGACCGCAGUUUACGCCCGCUUCCAGCAUCGCUA